CCUACGGGGGGCAGCAGUGAGGAAUAUUGGUCAAUGGGCGUAAGCCUGAACCAGCCAAGUCGCGUGAGGGAUGACGGUCCUAUGGAUUGUAAACCUCUUUUGUCGGGGAGCAAGGCCCGCCACGUGUGGCGGGAAGGAGAGUACCCGAAGAAAAAGCAUCGGCUAACUCCGUGCCAGCAGCCGCGGUAAUACGGAGGAUGCGAGCGUUAUCCGGAUUUAUUGGGUUUAAAGGGUGCGUAGGCGGAAGGUUAAGUCAGCGGUAAAAUGUUGGGGCUCAACACCGGCCUGCCGUUGAAACUGGUCUUCUUGAGUGAGCGAGAAGUAUGCGGAAUGCGUGGUGUAGCGGUGAAAUGCAUAGAUAUCACGCAGAACUCCGAUUGCGAAGGCAGCAUACCGGCGCUCAACUGACGCUGAGGCACGAAAGCGUGGGGAUCGAACAGGAUUAGAUACCCUUGUAGUC
rnacentral:rRNA from 1 species